GGGAAGGAAGGAAAGAGGGAGGGAAGAGGGCGGGCGCUAUUCCCCGCCCCGUCUCCGGGCGCCGCCGCUCUCCUUGAAGCUGCAGUUCCCCCACCUGCCCCCGCAGCGGGUCCUGUCCCCUGGCCGGGACGAGGGGAGUCCUUUAGGGGCUCUGGGUGACCUGUGCUGCAGCCAGAUGGCAGCGCAGCCCCUCCGGCCCGGGGGGUGUCCAGGGAGUCCCGCCGGCCCCGGUGCUGAGGGAGCGGGGCGGGUGGGGAGGGGGUCGCUCCUCGAGGGAGCUUCGGCUCCUGGCAGGCAGCACGGACGUGGGUCGCCUGUCGUGUGCACUGGGUUUAGGAUGCAGAAGACGGUCCGGUACCAUUUUGAUGAUGAACCCCAGAGACACGGUCUGGCCUUUCACUCGAUCCCUAGGCAAAAAAAAAUAAAAAUUUAAGGCUAGCUUUAGCUGUGACCUUUUUCCUUCCAUAUGAGCAGUGAUUAACUACUAAGGUUUCUUUCAUCCAUGCUAAGACACUCCAAAUUUAGUUCUUACAAAUCUUGUAAUUACGGCGUGUUGCUAACCACUUAAUGAUGAAGAUCUCUGUUCUCAGAUUUUUGGCGAUUUGUUAGGGUUUGGGGUUUUUUUUCCCUCAGCAACUGAGUCGGCUGUUUCUGCUCACAGCCUUGGAUCAGUAACUCCAGAGCCAUUUCUUAGCAUAAUCUGUUCAGGAGAAUGCUCUGCUUCCUAUCUGACUGAUUUUUUUUUUUUUUCCUUGAUCCAGCUGAUGUGCUUCCACAGCUACUGCUCUAGAAGGUUUAAAGCCACUGUGCUCCUUCCUUUUCCCAAGAUAAAAAUGGCAAUGUUUUGGCUUGAUUCAUCUUGGUCUUCCAGGCAAGAUUUCUGUCUUGUUAAGCAAGAGCUUGAUUAGGUGUUUUUUUUGUUUUUUUUUAUUUUUUAUUUUUUUAAGACUAAUGGAAGAUUAGCAUUUCUAGGAAGAGAGGGAUAGAACUGCAUUUCCAUUGCAAAUUGGUAUGCAUUCUUAUGCCUUCAAGGAGCUUAUUUUGGCUUUCCUGUCGUGCUGCACCUGUGACCUGUGCCAUCAUUUCUUAGGCUUUGGGUUGAAAUCAAGGACACUUCCUUUCAGCCCAGUUUACCAUUCAAGGCCAUUAAAGUAUCUCCAAUCUUAAGGAUCCUGGGAGAGCUGGGAAGGAAUAUUUGGAGCUGGUGCAGACCAAAAUACAGCAACUUUGAAAGUAACUUCUUUUUGCUAUGAUUAUUUGUCACUGUGGAUCAUGCUGCUGGUGGUGAUAGUGCCUCAGCUCAUGUGCACCUGGUGACUCGAGCUGCUUUUAUCUUUCCAGAAGUUCAGUAUUAGAGCUCAAGCAGUGGUGCUGGGUCUCAUAACCUGCAGCAAGGCUGUUCUGGUACAGGUUCUACUGUUUAAUCUGAAUCCCUCCUGUCAGAGGGAGAAAACCAGCAGGUGCCACAGAGGCCACAUUGCUGGGUUACCCUGGAAUCCAGCUGCAUGCCAGUCCCUGUUACACAGUAAAACAUUUGGACUGUCAGAGAGGCUUGGUAAUUUUCUCUCCACAGUGGUAUUUUGGGACACUUUCUGUCCCCUCAGGUCCCCAAGAAAGUUAAAGGUAUCUUCUGCAGCUCCUGAAGUCAGCAAGACUGGCUGCUGGAAGAGUAAUAAUUGUCUCCCUAAGGUAGUGGGAUUCAAGUUCUAGGCUACAGUGCUGCUUUAGCAAAUCAUGCCUUGGGAUUGGUAAUUUCGUUCGGGAGUAAUGUCGAUAGAGUGUAUGAUGAUGGCCUUUAAUUGUCUUCCUUCUAAAUUUCUGAGAUAAGCACAUUGUUCAGACAUGCCAUAUUCUAUUUGUAUGUUGUUGAUAUUUCAUUGACCAUCCCAAUAUAACCAUAACUUUGAUGUGUAAAACAUGCAUCUUCUCAGGGAACAUCUGAAAACCAGGAAACUUUUGGAGUGGUUCCUUCUCCAAAGUGCUGGAAAAGAGGCAUUUUAGAGUCCUUGCCAUACCAAGAAAAUGUCAUGGUGGAAGGCAGCCUGGGCCUUGAAGACUUUGCAUAAAUCCUGAAAGGCCACUUGGAAAUUUUAUGUUUUGUUGCCAGUAAGUGAAGAGAGAUCAGGGAAAAAGCCAUGUUCAUUCAUGGUGGUAGAACCAGUUAUAAACCAGCAUGGAUUCUGAAUCAGCUUUGAAUACUGCAAGCUGUAGGCAUGCUGUAACUCUCUUGCCAAUGCAAGAGGAAAGUGAGAUUGAAGAAGCUGGCCCCACUCUACCCCUAGUGCCCUCAGCCCUGGUAAUCAUCACUGAAGCAAGAAUCCCACAGGCAAAAUUUAUACACAGUUCCAGUGGGAUUUAUACAGGGAAACUAAUUUACUGUACUUUCCUUUAUGCUUUUUGCUGUUACCUUUGAGGCCAUUUGGAGCAUCCAGUCCUUCCUGCCCCUAUGCAUCUUACAUUAGAUCCAUAUUAGAUCCGCUAUAGGGCAGAAUCACGGCUGGGUGUGUGUUGUCUGUGGUAGGCAUUGGUACUUUGCUGCUGGGAGCAGGCCAAUUUGAUUAAUAUUGAGAUUCUUUCAAAGACAGGUAAUCAACCUAAGCCCUAAGUGUGCAUCAGCCUCUUGAUGUGAGAGUCAUAAUGGCUGAUACUGCCAUCAGAGCUGCAUUUAUAAAUCUGUGUGGGAGACUGGCUGCAAAGGAACAAACCCCAGUGAUAUUAGUGCUUAUGCUCGUUACUGGCAGAGCUGACACAUCUGAGCAGGGAGGCCGAGUGAGGCUGCCACUGAAAACAGAUACAUCUUUCUUUUACUUUUUUUUUUUUUUAAUAUGGUGGGCAAAGUGACACCCCAUGCACAGUCCAAAUGAGCCAGUUCUACCUUUUCUCCUGUGUCAAGAUGAAUGAUUAGAGCAAGCUUCUGGCUGGAGGAAUACUCUUGCUGUCCUCAUGAUGCAAAAGAUUCCACCUGCUACUAUACAGGAAAAGUUACAAUAUGUUCUUCUUGACAUUUCUUCUUAGAUAUGGCUUAUCUACUUAGAUACAACUCUCCUGAGCUGCCAAGGGAAAAAAAGCCAAAGCUACUAAUUUCUCCUGACAAGUGUUUUCACUCUUUAUUUUUUUCAAUGACUGGUUGUGCUGUGUCCUGGACAUCGGCGGCAGCUAAUAAAUAACUCCUGAUGCCAGAAUAACUCCUGAUUCCAAAGGUUGACAGAUAUCAUUUGAGCUCUCAUUUCAGAGGUAAAUGACAGCCCUUUAACCCAAUUAUAGUCCAGUGUGGCAUAAUUGGACUCAUUUGUUAUCCUUUACCAACUGGCUACUGCAGUUAAUUUAUGAAAAAUGGGACAGUAUUCCUUCUUCAAGGGGUAUUAGAGUCUACUAUGCUUUAUUUUAUACAUUGUUUAGAACACUCCAGACUGUUUCUACCUUAGCACAAAUUUUUCCUUUUCUGCAUCUGCCCAUUGUUUCCCAACUGCCUUUUAUUAUGCUGAAAUCUAUUGCUUUUGUGUUAAUAUGUUUUACAGUAGUUUUCACUGAGACAUUUGAAGUUUUUACUUUUGUCACAGUGUCCCUCUUAUUGAUACAGCUAAUUUUACUAUAAUGUCAACUACUUUGUAGGUAUAUAACUGUAAUUGUAACUGUCAUCUAAAUCUGUUCCUUAUUGCACUGCUAGCAAUGCAGCAGACCACUGCCACUAGCAUCAAACUUUCCUGUAAUUCUGACUCUGUAGUGAAUUCCUUCCCAACUGGCAAUAAGAAAGUCUUACACAGCUCUUUCUCUGCUUGAGUUCUCUGUUUUCUGGAUUGUGAAAUUAUCCUUUGCAUAAUUCAAGAACCACUUCAUGAUCUAUGUUUGGCAGAAUUUGUUACCCAACAGAUGUCUGGACAGUUAAUGACCUCUGUAAGUACAGCCCUGUGAUUUCUUGCUACUGAUGGUCCAAGAAUUUUAAUCUAUUCUGCUACAAGUCAGCUCCUGAGCAGCAUGUCACCUCUUAUUAUAAAACAAAAGCAUAAAAUGUGUAUAUCUUUUCAGAAUUGUUAUGCCUAGUCAGAACUGGUAUUUUUCCCUCAUUUUCUUCUGAGUCUUUGCUCAUAUAUGUGUAGAUGCAAUGCACAAAUGCACAUAGCUCCGUAUUUUUCCUUGGCCAAAAUCAAAGAACAUGAAUGAAAAACCCUGAAAUUAAUCAAAAUAUCAUUUCAGAGAAAAAGUACUCCCAGAAAUAAAAGUCAGAACUCCCACUGCACACCUUUAAGUUGGGGAAAGGGCAGAUAAGUAAAAAGGUCUGUGGUAGCAAAGCCUUUUUGACUGUCACUUUUACACAUAUGGCAGAUGUAGUCUUACAAGAGGAUUUGAAGGCACUAGAGUGAUGUGUUCACAGUAUGAAAUCAUGCUGCAGCUGCACAACCAUUCCUUCUUUCCUCUUCCCCAUUCAGAUCAGGUUCUAGCCUACCCCUGCAUAGGAAAGUUGUCCUAGUUUCUCUUCUGGAUUGUUUUUUUUUCUGUUCAGUUUUCGGCACUUGUGAGAGGAAAAUUGUCAGGCAGGAUUGUAUCAAAGAGGAGGUAAGACAGUCCCUAACAUCUGGCACUCAUGUCCCAGUGGAGGGAGUCAAGGAAUUGAAUGUUUAUUGAUACGGGUCCAGUCAGACAUCCCUGUGGAGAUAUUCUGCAAUCCAGGUGCUGAAGUCCCUAGAACAUAAAUCUGCACAGUGAAGUGCUUGAGAGAAUGGCUUGUACUUCAGUGUGUGUGCCACUGUGAAGGAGAGAAAUUAGGCUGCCUGCAUAAAAGUGCUCCUCUAGCAGUCAGGGUCCUGACAGCUGCCUGGAACUCUCACCACAGAGCUCCUGAAGUGCCAGGAAGUUUGCUAGGUGCCUCACUGGUACCUGUUUCUGCAGUGAAAGGGUUGUUGUGGCCGAACUGUUGGAUUGGAAGGUACCAAAACCUGGAGAAAGUUUUGGCAGCUGGAUCUACACUGGUAAGGUUCGGAAGCCAAUGCUCUUGCAUUUUAUGCAGAGCUCUUGCAAUUGAUGUUACUUGGCAAUUUUGGCAUGAAACUCCUGGCAACCUCUCAGAUGGUACGUGGAUCUGGCUUGGAGGACAGCAUGGAGCAGGACUCAUUUCCUCAAAAGCAACUUUACGUCAUCACUUUCACGUGAAGCAGAAAAUGUAGUUCUUCAGUGCAAGCUGGAACACACAGUUUGGCCUCAGAACCCAAAGAACAAUGUCUGGUCUGUUUUAUGAGCUAGAGAGCGGGAGCAGCUGAACUGACUCACGGGUUUUCUUUGGAGUUUCCUAGUGCACUUUCCCAUUUGGAGUUUCCUAGUGCACUUUCAGAGGUACAAGCUGUACACUCAUCAGUUCCUCAGUCUUCACAGAAGUAUUUCUACUAUAUUGUCAGAUGAUAUUUUUAUACAAGGAGGUCACUGAGUUACAGAUGAGGACAUGCCUGAAUAAUUGGUUUUGCCCUCCGAACACAUGUGGCCUCUUGUCUCUAGAGCAUUUCCUAUUUUACAAUAAAGAGUAUUUCUCCCACUUUCAUGAAUUUCACAUUUGGUGGAUGUCCUAUGGUGUCCAGUGCUUUUACACCCACUCUUGUCCCAAAGGAAGUCUCCCAAAGACAGCUAUACUUGACUCAGAUAUGGUUCUCUCAUCAAAAUCAAAGGGCACUCUGUAGAUUGUGAUGAUAAACAUAUGGGCUUACUACAGUGCAAGAUGUUCAAAGCAAUCAGACAUUCUGGCUGCAAUUUAUCUAGAAUAAAAAUUAUCAGGAAUGGCCAGGAGGUAAUCUGAACCAAAUGCUCUAUAACACCAUCCGUGAUAAUGUCCCAUCUAAAUGUGGCAUUACUGGGAUGUCUAUACGUGCUCACAGGUUGAGGAACCUCUUGCCACAGUGUUGGCCAGAAAUGGUGAUUUGCCUGCUGAAGAAAAGGUGGCACAUAACAUUGGCGCAGAGUAAGACAUGCAAAAGUUUGAUUAGACAAUCUGGAUUCUUUUUUAACUCCAAACAGCCCUGCAGCAGUGAGUCAUAAGUCCCUGAAUACACUGAAACUUCUGCAAUUUUGCUCUCAAGCUGCUUCUUGGGACUUCGCAGAAAUCAUUUUCUACAGGAGGGAUGAGUUCAGUUGCCCUGCUUUAGGAACCACAAGCUUUUAAAGCAAUCUUUUGUCACAGGUCUGAGUUGACAAAACUGGCAGUUUAGUGGCAGUUCCACCUAUUUUUUAAGGAUUCAGAUACUUUGGACAAUAUGGAGCUUUCCAUGUAAUUGCAGUAAGGGGUAAAUAUGGCUUGACUGCAAGAAAACCGCCCAGCUCCAAAAAUUUUCUGUUGAAAAGUAUGUAUUAAAAUCAUGCCAGAGCUUUGUUAGCAGUAGCAUUGCUAAGAUCUUUUGGCCAUAAGUUGUAUUAGACUUUUUGUAUUUUUUAAUUAUGCCUUCAUUUUUUCUUCAAAGGUACUUUCAAUAUU